UGGGGAAUAUUGGCACAAUGGGCGCAAGCCUGAUGCAGCCAUGCCGCGUGUGUGAAGAAGGCCUUCGGGUUGUAAAGCACUUUCAGCGAGGAGGAAGGUGGUGAGCUUAAUACGCUCAUCAAUUGACGUUACUCGCAGAAGAAGCACCGGCUAACUCCGUGCCAGCAGCCGCGGUAAUACGGAGGGUGCAAGCGUUAAUCGGAAUUACUGGGCGUAAAGCGCACGCAGACGGUUUGUUAAGUCAGAUGUGAAAUCCCCGGGCUCAACCUGGGAACUGCAUUUGAAACUGGCAAGCUAGAGUCUCGUAGAGGGGGGUAGAAUUCCAGGUGUAGCGGUGAAAUGCGUAGAGAUCUGGAGGAAUACCGGUGGCGAAAGGCGGCCCCCCUGGANGAAGACUGACGCUCAGGUGCGAAAA
rnacentral:rRNA from 1 species